rnacentral:rRNA from 1 species
UACAGAGGGGGCAAGCGUUGUUCGGAAUUACUGGGCGUAAAGGGCGCGUAGGCGGCCUGUUAAGUCGAACGUGAAAUCCCCGGGCUCAACCCGGGAACUGCGUCCGAUACUGGCAGGCUUGAAUCCGGGAGAGGGAUGCGGAAUUCCAGGUGUAGCGGUGAAAUGCGUAGAUAUCUGGAGGAACACCGGUGGCGAAGGCGGCAUCCUGGACCGGCAUUGACGCGUGAGGCGCGAAAGCGUGGGUAGCAAACAGG